GACGAACGCUGGCGGCGUGCCUAAUACAUGCAAGUAGAACGCUGAAGAGAGGAGCUUGCUCUUCUUGGAUGAGUUGCGAACGGGUGAGUAACGCGUAGGUAACCUGCCUUGUAGCGGGGGAUAACUAUUGGAAACGAUAGCUAAUACCGCAUAACAAUGGAUGACACAUGUCAUUUAUUUGAAAGGGGCAAUUGCUCCACUACAAGAUGGACCUGCGUUGUAUUAGCUAGUAGGUGAGGUAAUGGCUCACCUAGGCGACGAUACAUAGCCGACCUGAGAGGGUGAUCGGCCACACUGGGACGGAGACACGGCCCAGACUCCUACGGGAGGCAGCAGGAGGGAAUCUUCGGCAAUGGGGGCAACCCUGACCGAGCAACGCCGCGUGAGUGAAGAAGGUUGUCGGAUCGUAAAGCUCUGUUGUAAGUCAAGAACGGGUGUGAGAGUGGAAAGUUCACACUGUGACGGUAGCUUACCAGAAAGGGACGGCUAACUACGUG
rnacentral:rRNA from 1 species